UGCAUAAUAAUUAGGAACAUGGUGUAUAAGACCAAAGUAAAGUGAGUCAACACAGAAUCAAGUUUUUAAAACAGGAUUUCAUUUUUAAGAAAAACAAACCUAUCCAAACAAAACAGCUAAUAUCAACUGCUUGUGACAACUUUCUGACCCACUCUUCUUUGCAGAAUUGUUUUAAUUCAGGCAUACUAGAAAUUAAGGUUUCAGUUAGACUUUGACUAGGCCCCCUCCAAAACUUUCAUACUGGAUUUCCCAUUAUUAAGAGAUGGAUUUGCUGGUGUGGUGACUUUAUAUAUUGCAUAUUGUGUCAUUAAAUGACACAAUAUGUCAUUUAAUGUCAUUUAAAUGACACAAUAUGCAAAGAGUUCCCAAUAAUACAAAUAAUACCAAAAUCUUGUUUUUCUUUUUUUUAAUCUAACUGUGUUGUUGUUUUCCUCUCUGUAUGAACCCAUAACUACUUCAAGGCCAAAGUUAUCAAGGCAACCCUCCCAAAAAUGAAAUAAUUGCUUCUCGUCCAGCAGAUGGAGCUCAAAAAUAACUCAACACAAAGUGAAUAGAUGAAGCACAUUGUGCAUCUGUCCUUCCUCAUUUGAUCAGUCAUAACUCCGGACCCAUUCACCAUCUGUUUUCCUUCAGGGACGCAAUAAGGGACUCUUUAUUAAACCUCAGGCGGAACCAAAAAGGUGAAUCGGAGGUGAGCAAUAAUCGAAAAAUGCCACUUCGGUUGGCCGGGAGUCUUAAUUGGAUAAAAUGAAAGUCUUUCAAAUGCCACGGGCGUCUUUCGUGGUGUCAUCUCUGAAUGACAUUUUGGCAAUCAUUUAUCUUCGGCCCAUGUCCGGCACCUCAACAGGACAAAUGCGCAAGCGGGUUCAAACGCCGCCGAAGCACUGCUCACGCCAUGUUUUGUCACUGUCAAAAGUUUCCUAACUUUUCCGGAAGUUGAAUAAUAAAAUGUUGGUAGUUUAAUAUGUUGGCAGAUUUUUCAUGAGUUUAGGUAUUUUUAUUAUUUUUACAAAACAAAAACAAUUGCAAUAUGAUAAUGGUAAGGAAUAUGAUUCCCUUUAUUAGACUCAUAUUUAAAUAUGAUUGAUGUUAAGACUGGGGGUUGUUCAGGCAUGAAUGGCCUGUUUAAGGUCCUGCCACAGCAUCUCAUAAACUGAAGCGCAGACGUUCUCCACCAGACUUUUCUAACAGAGAACAUAAUUCACGGUUCCUUAAUUACAGAAAGUGUUCCAGGCACUAAAGCAGCAAAGCAGCCCAAGAUCAUCACACUACCAUGAAAGUUAUCAAAACUAAACCAGUAUUUCUGAAAUAAUGGUUAUGUUUUACACCAGGAUGCACACCUUCUAAAAAGGUAUAUUUUUUCCUCAUGAGCCCUAUUCACCAAAAAGUCUUGGGCCUUAUCAAAAUGGUUUUUCUCUACUUUUUUGGCUGCCGUUUCCCCCUCUGUUCUUGUUUUACUUCCGUUUUUGGCAUAAUGAGCUGCUUUCUGGGAUGUUUCAGCCUACUUUGUCUUGUCAGACAAGUUCUAUUUUGGUGAGUUCCUAAUUGUACAAGUGUGGCCUUGAUCAAGCCUUGGUUUGGCUGUGGAAGUUGAACCAGAAAUGUGGUAAAUUUCAGUUAAUUUGGGAUUCAUGAGAGGUGGUGGAGGUCUUACUUUCCACAUAGAACUAGAUUAGUUUUGAUAACUUUGUUUGGCAAAUUAAUGAAGGCAUUAUUUGAGAAAUGCUUUUUGAAUUUGCUAAUUUUACCUUUGGCUGACAUUGAUAAGUAAGCAUGACCAAAUAAAAAACAAAAAAGGUCUGCGUAUGCUUUUCUCGCACAUAGGACUGCUAAUGAAACCUGGUCAAAAUAAUUCUUAGUGACCUUGGGCAAAGAACCAUCUACAAAUUUGCAACAGUUCAACAAUAUAAUCUGGGAAAUUAAAUAAUAAAAAGUGAUUAUAAGAAACAUGGCAGGAAUUGUGAUUACAAAAUAUUAAAGGGGAGUGCAAAGCGAGAAUAAUCAUUAAAAAAAAUCAAAGCCCGAGAGGGAAUAGAUUACAAACAUUAAACAAGAAAACUGAACACAAAACACAAUUAUUUUAGCAAAAAAUUUACAAAUUUGUUUGGUGAGUUCACUGCCAGCCUUCUCAUUAGAACAUGUCCUUUGGAAACACAAUUAUCCCUAAGUUUCCUCAAGUGGAGGCUUAAAAAUGACUCGCAGCAUAAGAGUGAUUGAUGGACUCAAAAGCAAGCUCAGUCCAUUUAUUACAGUUUAGUCUCUGGUUAAAAGAGGGGAAAAACCGAAAGAAUGCUAAAAAUAAAUUAUUGCAAAUAUAAUAUGCUGCCAUUAUUCAGACUGACUCACCACCAGUGGAAAGAAACCGCUCAAAUUUUCUCUGGUAAACAAUGAACUAUUGAUUCCUCUACGUUUGCCAGACAACAGCAGACGAUAGAGAAUAAGCUGUGGUUGGGAUUUCUUUUGAGUUAUCCAUCAUAUUCCAGGAAAAUUAGAUUCAGAAGACAUUUAUUCAACACGAGGUCCAAAACAUUGAACCUUUUAAACAGAUUUAUCAAUACAUACAAGCAUAUAUUUGCUCUACACAGGGGCAGAUGACAACAAAACAAUGGCGGAUAGCAUUGUGCUGUGUUAUGCUACUUAACCUUGUCAAUUUAACACAAGUUCUGGUAAUGGUUGUACGCGUCUUACAUGAACACUUGGUUCAUUUGGAGACAGGUUACUGUUUUCUAAACAACCUGGAAGCUAGUGAGGUGGUAGCUAAAGGUCAAAACAGCAUGCAUGCUAAAAUCACAGCGCCAUCUACUGCCUUGGCAUGACAACAACAGUAGACUUGAGGUGUCUUGGCAGUGUCGUCUAUAGUUGGAACUUUUCCAUGAUCAACAUCCAAAAAUACUGGCAGUUUCCAGACAACGGUCUCAUAUCAACGUAGCCUACUGAAGUUUUUAAAGUAGAGCAGAUUGAAGACGGUUAAGGUAGUGAAAAAUUAGGUGGAAUUGCCCUUAAGACAUUUCCUGAAACUUUAACUGCAAUCAGUAGCCAACACUUGGUGUAAUGUUUGAUUACAGUAAAAUGUAUCAAAAGAAAACAUGUCAGUGACGUAUGAUAUUUAGGCCAAGCAUUUUCUUGAUAAGGUUUUCUUUAAAGAAAAAAGUCUGUGUCUAAUGUUGAUCCGAGACAUGCUAGUCAUUAGCCUCCCCAAUGCUAAUGCUAGUCUUUCUUUGCUUAUGGACAGUAGAGGAAGAAGGCAAUCCAAUGGGUGACCAGCCUUGGCAUUCUAAUCUCUAGCCUAACCAAUGCUAAUGCAAGUGAGUAGUCUCUUUCUCAUUUGCCAGCGCUGACCUCUCUGAUAUUGGUCCCAUUAAUCACAUUAUUUGCUGACUUCAGAAUAGACAUGGCCUCUUGCGACAAGGAAGUAGCUGCCGCCAGGUGCAAUAGUCUUAAUUUGGCCCAAAUCUCCAAUGUCUAUGUCACUAUGCCUUUAAAUAAUUUUGGAAAGCCCAGAUAAUGAUUUCAUAGUUUUGCAAGCCUCUGGUAGGUUAAUCCUCAGCACAUCUGGGUGACAACACUGCUUCCUUGAGUGUCGUGUGUCCCAGAGAUGAAUGCACUUUGUUGGAAAACAUAUGGAAAGGAUUACAUUACUGUGAUGCAAUAAUAUUUUAUAUAUUCAAAGUGGCUUGAACUAACUGGCAAUAGUAUCUUUAAAUUUAGGCAAAAAGCAGAUAAGCAACGUUUUACUAAAAAUAACUGCACGGCCGUCAUCACAGUCCCUGCUGUCUCUGCUUCUCUGCAGCUUGGAACUCACAUUUGACUCUGAAGUAUUUUGGCUAUAGACGCUUGGUAAAUUUGAUUGAUCUAAUUUUUUAAAAGGACCUUUAUGGGGGAACAGAAUUACGUGCAGAAUGUUCAGCCAGAUUUGAGAAUCAUUUGGACCAUCUGUCCGUCAGCGGUAGUGGAUUUUCAGCACAGUGACCACGCUUAGAGCUCAUCUUUUUUUCAUUUCGGGAAUGUGUGGUUUUACACAUUAGCAACAAAACUGGAGCAUUUAUACAUGGAGGGGCUUUAUCACUCUAUAUCAAUGCUGAAGUAUUCUUGCACGUUUGUGUUUGUGACCUUUUGAAGUCAAUAUCUUUGCAGAAACUCUCACACAAACAAUGGAGACAUUUACCAACGGUCCAAAUGAAGCCUUUUAAAUCUCCGGUCAGCCUUUUACACUUUUUUGCUUCUCAGAUCUUUAAACACAAAGUUUGGGUCAAUGCCCAUGGAUCUCUAUUAAUCUCCUCUCUGUUUUUUCUUCAAAUCUGUCCUCCCUCCAAGCCAACAACUUUAAUGCCUGACACACACAAAAACAUGGUAGACCGUCUUCUUCCCCUGGGGCACCUUCAAAUCACCUCUCUGAAUAAUUCAGCCCGCUUGCUUUGUUCAUCGAUCCCCCUCUUCACGUCUCCCUCACGCAGACACAUAUUUCACUUAACACACACGCUGGGAAGAAACGUAGUAUGCGCUGUUCAUUACAAUUCAACACCGCUUCGAAUCUGCACUCUUCCCCUUACUAAUUCCAACUACAGGCUGGAGUUUGCUUUGAUUUUUGGAUCAUUGUGUAACCUGGUUGUUGUUAUAAUUACACAAAAUGUCUUUUUUUGUUGUUGUUUGUAUUGCUCUCUACCUGACCGAAAAGCUGUCAUUGUUUUGAAUGUGUUACUUUAAGAACAGUAGCCCCUCCUUUUUAUUUCUUCUUCUAUGGUUUUGUCUUUAAAAUGUUUGCGUCCCUUAGGCCCUCCCCUUUUGUCAUGUUGUCCUGCGGGAGAGGACUUGGAGCGGGCAGCUUGUAACUAUUGUUUUUCUGUUGGAUAUUUUCGUCAGGUAUGUUGUAUAGAAAAGGUUUAUUUUAUUUAAUGUGAGACAUGAUCCCCGCCCUUUUUGUCAUGUUGUCCUGCGGGAGAGGACUUGGAGCGGGCAGCUUGUAACUAUUGUUUUUCUGUUGGAUAUUUUCGUCAGAAUAAAUCUUUGAAAGCCAAA